CCUACGGGAGGCAGCAGUGGGGAAUAUUGGGCAAUGGGCGCAAGCCUGACCCAGCAACGCCGCGUGAAGGAAGAAGGCUUUCGGGUUGUAAACUUCUUUUAUCAGGGACGAAGCAAGUGACGGUACCUGCUGAAUAAGCCACGGCUAACUACGUGCCAGCAGCCGCGGUAAUACGUAGGUGGCAAGCGUUAUCCGGAUUUACUGGGUGUAAAGGGCGUGUAGGCGGGAGUGCAAGUCAGAUGUGAAAACUAUGGGCUCAACCCAUAGCCUGCAUUUGAAACUGUACUUCUUGAGUGCUGGAGAGGCAAGCGGAAUUCCGGGUGUAGCGGUGAAAUGCGUAGAUAUACGGAGGAACACCAGUGGCGAAGGCGGAUUGCUGGAUAGUAACUGACGCUGAGGCGCGAAAGCGUGGGGAGCAAACAGGAUUAGAUACCCGUGUAGUC
rnacentral:rRNA from 1 species